UCCCUAGGAUGGGUCAUAUGGCAACCAAAUAGACUAUUCCACAUGUGGAAAAUCCUUCCCUGCUGCACUUCGUGAUACACAAAGAAGCUUAUUCCAGUAACACAAUUCUUCAUAAAUUCGUUUCCAUGUUGUUAAGAUCCAGUAGUAAAGUCUCAUUUCAACUUCAUUUUUGCAAAUGGAACCAUAUAUUUUUUAAUAUAAUUCGUUCAUAAUAAUUCAUCGAUCUAUCUUCGUAUUUCUUAUGAAAAAAUUAAAAGGAACUGUUAGUUCACCAGAUAUCUUAACUUGAAUUCGUCGUAUGAAAAAUAGGUAAGGGCGCGAAACAGUACUCUUGUGUUUACGUUGUCCUUGUCUUUCGUUUGUUUUAACAUAAACACAACACCGCUUCGUGUCCUAUGCUUAUCUUUCAUACGACAAAUUAAACUUAAGAUAUAAUCUAAACUAACAGCUUUUCGACAUAAAUAGGUUAAUACUUUUGUAUAUGAUAUGAAACGUUAUGAUAUCGGUUACACCACUGUUGCUUACAAAGCACGAGUUUCGACUGAUUGGUAGAUAGAAGAAAAGAAUAAUAACAAGAAAGAACCGAUUCGGAAGGACGAGCCUUUCGUUUACCUCCGAAUCUCUCAUCAAACAGGUCACGUUGUAGGAUGUGAGCAUACUUUCCGCGAUGUACUAUAAAAAUGUAGCCGAAAAAUCCGCCUGUUUCAAACCUCUUCCUUUAAUGUAUGUGUUACGACCGUUCGCGAAGAGACGCAGUCGCUAGGAAAACGCGUCAGCGAAAGGCGUAAA